UACGUGGGGGGCGAGCGUUGUCCGGAGUUACUGGGCGUAAAGGGCAUGCAGGCGGUCGGACGCGUUUCCAGUGACAGCGGGUGGCUUACCUACCCGAGUAUUGGAAAGACGGUGUGACUUGAGGACUUGAGAGGGACACGGAAUUCCGGGUGGAGUGGUGAAAUGCGUAGAGAUCCGGAGGACCAUCAAAGGCGAAGGCAGUGUCCUGGCGAGUAACUGACGCUGAGGUGCGAAAGCUAGGGGAGCGAACGGG
rnacentral:rRNA from 1 species